CUCCUUUUCUGGUUCAUAAGUAUGAUGAUUGGGUUCUCAUGCACUUGCAUGACAUGUGCCUCCUUCAAACCUUGUUAUGACAUAGGCACAUUGCCAUUACCUGUCUGACA